UAAGGCAGGAAGGAGGUGUGAUUGGCCAUCCUGAGUUACAUGCCCGUUGUAGCUUGGGGUGGAGUCACAGCACCUAAAGCGCAUGGACUGGAAGUAGAGGGAAGGGCAGUUUCCCAGAGGAAAACCAGAGUGAUAUCAUUAGAAAAAAGAGUUCCUGCUGAGAGGCAAAGAUUUACACAUGCAGACCCCAGCCACUAUUUACUGAGGGCUAGAUUGUACCAGGCACUUUACCUGUGCUGUGAUCAUGUAAUCCUGUCAGGCAAAACCCAGCAGGAAGAUAGAAGACAAUAGAGCCGUGAUUUUGACCCAGCCUCCCAGGACACAGAUGGGGUGAAGAAAUCAAAGGGGCAAACAGAAUUUGCAGCCCAAGUUUCGAAGGGGCAGUUGGGAGACAUCUUUAGGCUUUCUGCAACCAAGCCACCGUCUUCCACACAGCAAGAGACAGUUACUCAGUGGAGGAAUAAGCCUUCAGUUGCAUACCGCUCUGUGCAUUGGAUGGGAGGAUUUUGAAACUUUUGGAAGCUCCAUACUGUGGCUUUAUUCCAUGAAUCCACCAGCGCUGUGCACCAAAGUUUCUCUGUGGAGGGAGAACAUAUUUUUGCAGAGCAAGUACAGAUAAGAGGUUGGGUGCCUGAAGCCUGGAUAAUAAUAGAAUGACAGCUGAUGAUUCAUCAGUGCUCUUCAGAGCCAGCUGAUAAUACGUUGCCAGCCUUUCCCCUUUGCUCAGACAGAACAGCCACCCUCACCCACGGGGAUUCCUGCCCAGAAGGAAUUUCCACAGCCCUGUACCAAGCAUGCUUAAAGUGGCUGCCAUUUAUGUGGGGUUUCCAUGUGCCAAGGGGCACGCCAAUGGUCCUUUACAUCAACUCACUUAAUCUUUAUAUCCUCAUGACCGCCCCAGGAGAUACAUAAUAACAUCUACAUUUUAUAGGCAGAGACAGAAGCUUGGCUCAGCAUAACAGAGAGGGAGUGUGGAGCAGUGGUCAGGAUCACAGCCAGUAAAUCCAGAUGACCUGGGUUCAAGUCCCAGUCCUGCCACUUCCCAGCUGUGGGCUUUUGCACAAGUCACAUGGUCUUCCUGUGUCUCAGCCCCCACCCCCCCAUCUGUAAACAAAACAACACUGUAAAAUAACAGUGUCUACCUCAUGGGGAUCUUGCAAAGAUCAAAUAAAGAGCUUUGAAGAACAUCUGACUUAUAGUAAGCUCUGUGUGAGCAUUAGCUCAGAGAUAGUUCUCAUGUUAAACUAAAUAAGUUGC
rnacentral:lncRNA from 1 species